rnacentral:rRNA from 1 species
AUUGAACGCUGGCGGCAUGCUUUACACAUGCAAGUCGAACGGUAACAGGUUAAGCUGACGAGUGGCGAACGGGUGAGUAAUGCAUCGGAACGUGUCCGGGCGUGGGGGAUAACGCAGCGAAAGCUGCGCUAAUACCGCAUACGAUCUAAGGAGGAACGCGGGGGACCGUAAGGCCUCGCGCGAUCGGAGCGGCCGAUGUCAGAUUAGGUAGUUGGUGGGGUAAAGGCUCACCAAGCCAACGAUCUGUAGCUGGUCUGAGAGGACGACCAGCCACACUGGGACUGAGACACGGCCCAGACUCCUACGGGAGGCAGCAGUGGGGAAUUUUGGACAAUGGGCGAAAGCCUGAUCCAGCAAUGCCGCGUGCAGGAAGAAGGCCUUCGGGUUGUAAACUGCUUUUGUACGGAGCGAAAAGGUCUCCUCUAAUACAGGGGGCUCAUGACGGUACCGUAAGAAUAAGCACCGGCUAACUACGUGCCAGCCGCCGCCGUAA